GACGAACGCUGGCGGCGUGCUUAACACAUGCAAGUCGAACGGAAAGGCCCUGCUUUUGUGGGGUGCUCGAGUGGCGAACGGGUGAGUAACACGUGAGUAACCUGCCCUUGACUUUGGGAUAACUUCAGGAAACUGGGGCUAAUACCGGAUAGGAGCUCCUGCUGCAUGGUGGGGGUUGGAAAGUUUCGGCGGUUGGGGAUGGACUCGCGGCUUAUCAGCUUGUUGGUGGGGUAGUGGCUUACCAAGGCUGUGACGGGUAGCCGGCCUGAGAGGGUGACCGGCAAAAUGGGGACUGAAUGAGGGCCCAACCCCCUCGGGGGGGAAGGAGGGGGGAAUAUUGCCAAAUGGGCGGAAGCCUGAGGCAGCAACGCCGGGGGGGGGAAGACGGCCUUGGGGUUGAAAACCGCUUUCCCCUGUGACGAAGGGUGAGUGAGGGUAAUGGGUAAAGGAGCACCGGCUAACUACGG
rnacentral:rRNA from 1 species